AAUAUUGGACAAUGGGGGCAACCCUGCUCCAGCCACGCCGCGUGUGUGAAGAAGGUCUUCGGAUUGUAAAGCACUUUAUGUUGGGAGGAAGGGCUUUAGGUUAAUACCUUGAAGUUUUGACGUUACCAACAGAAUACGCACCGUCUAUCUCUGUUCCAGCCGCCGCGGUAAUACAGCGGGUGCAAGCGUUAAUCGGAAUUACUGGGCGUACAGCGAGGGUAGGUGGUUCAGUAAGAUGGGUGUGAAAUCCCAGGGCUUAACCUGGGAACUGCUUUCAUAACUGCUGAGCUAGAGUACGGUAGAGGGUAGUGGAAUUUCCUGUGUAGCGGUGAAAUGAGUAGAUAUAGGAAGGAACACCAGUGGCGAAGGCGACUACCUGGACUGAUACUGACACUGAGGUGCGAAAGCGUGGGGAGCAAACA
rnacentral:rRNA from 1 species